CCAUCUCCCCAGCCCCUCGGCCUUUGCCCCGCCCCGCCUCGUCUUUCCCGAGCUCACUACUAUGCUGCCAAGGACAGGCUGUGGGGACCUGGAUUUGCUAGGUCCAGGCCACCUCCACUUUCCAAACUUUGAGAGUCCAGGAGCAGAAGCAAAAGAGUGGGACGGGCGGGGUCGAGAUGCGAAAGCUGCCUAAGGAGGUUGGGGAGAAGGGACUAGCAUCCGCGAUGAAUUUCUCAAAGGACAAGUCAGCCCAGCCAGAGUAAAAAUUCUGAGAAACUGUCCUGGAGGUAUUUGUUUCUAUUCCAUGCUCUUUGUCCUUCUCUGUGUCAAGUCCUAGAGAUGAUCCACCAGAGACCAGGAAUUUAAGCCAUGAUGACCUUGAACCUAUGAUUGCAGACAGGAUGGUACAGGCUGCCAGGCUGGCAUGGAAGCCCCCAAAAGCCAGAGUAAUCGUUACUCAGACCUGAAGUAGACUUGGGCUUAUGCUGUGCUCUGCAGGAACUGAGCUAAAUUAUGGACAUAAUCUUCUUCAACUCCUUAGAAGAUGGCAAAAGGGGGAGAAGGGAAAUGAUGUAUUCCCUGCGUUGGGG
rnacentral:lncRNA from 1 species